UUAAGUUAUUAAGGGCGCACGGUGGAUGCCUUGGCACUAGAAGCCGAUGAAGGACGUUACUAACGACGAUAUGCUUUGGGGAGCUGUAAGUAAGCUUUGAUCCAGAGAUUUCCGAAUGGGGAAACCCAGCAUGAGUUAUGUCAUGUUAUCGAUAUGUGAAUACAUAGCAUAUCAGAAGGCACACCCGGAGAACUGAAACAUCUUAGUACCCGGAGGAAGAGAAAGAAAAUUCGAUUCCCUUAGUAGCGGCGAGCGAAACGGGAAGAGCCCAAACCAACAAGCUUGCUUGUUGGGGUUGUAGGACACUCUAUACGGAGUUACAAAGGACGACAUUAGACGAAUCAUCUGGAAAGAUGAAUCAAAGAAGGUAAUAAUCCUGUAGUCGAAAAUGUUGUCUCUCUUGAGUGGAUCCUGAGUACGACGGAGCACGUGAAAUUCCGUCGGAAUCUGGGAGGACCAUCUCCUAAGGCUAAAUACUCUCUAGUGACCGAUAGUGAACCAGUACCGUGAGGGAAAGGUGAAAAGCACCCCGGAAGGGGAGUGAAAUAGAACCUGAAACCGUGUGCUUACAAGUAGUCAGAGCCCGUUAAUGGGUGAUGGCGUGCCUUUUGUAGAAUGAACCGGCGAGUUACGAUUUGAUGCAAGGUUAAGCAGUAAAUGUGGAGCCGUAGCGAAAGCGAGUCUGAAUAGGGCGUUUAGUAUUUGGUCGUAGACCCGAAACCAGGUGAUCUACCCUUGGUCAGGUUGAAGUUCAGGUAACACUGAAUGGAGGACCGAACCGACUUACGUUGAAAAGUGAGCGGAUGAACUGAGGGUAGCGGAGAAAUUCCAAUCGAACCUGGAGAUAGCUGGUUCUCUCCGAAAUAGCUUUAGGGCUAGCCUCAAGUGAUGAUUAUUGGAGGUAGAGCACUGUUUGGACGAGGGGCCCCUCUCGGGUUACCGAAUUCAGACAAACUCCGAAUGCCAAUUAAUUUAACUUGGGAGUCAGAACAUGGGUGAUAAGGUCCGUGUUCGAAAGGGAAACAGCCCAGACCACCAGCUAAGGUCCCAAAAUAUAUGUUAAGUGGAAAAGGAUGUGGCGUUGCCCAGACAACUAGGAUGUUGGCUUAGAAGCAGCCAUCAUUUAAAGAGUGCGUAAUAGCUCACUAGUCGAGUGACACUGCGCCGAAAAUGUACCGGGGCUAAACAUAUUACCGAAGCUGUGGAUUGUCAUUUGGACAAUGGUAGGAGAGCGUUCUAAGGGCGUUGAAGCAUGAUCGUAAGGACAUGUGGAGCGCUUAGAAGUGAGAAUGCCGGUGUGAGUAGCGAAAGACGGGUGAGAAUCCCGUCCACCGAUUGACUAAGGUUUCCAGAGGAAGGCUCGUCCGCUCUGGGUUAGUCGGGUCCUAAGCUGAGGCCGACAGGCGUAGGCGAUGGAUAACAGGUUGAUAUUCCUGUACCACCUAUAAUCGUUUUAAUCGAUGGGGGGACGCAGUAGGAUAGGCGAAGCGUGCGAUUGGAUUGCACGUCUAAGCAGUAAGGCUGAGUAUUAGGCAAAUCCGGUACUCGUUAAGGCUGAGCUGUGAUGGGGAGAAGACAUUGAGUCUUCGAGUCGUUGAUUUCACACUGCCGAGAAAAGCCUCUAGAUAGAAAAUAGGUGCCCGUACCGCAAACCGACACAGGUAGUCAAGAUGAGAAUUCUAAGGUGAGCGAGCGAACUCUCGUUAAGGAACUCGGCAAAAUGACCCCGUAACUUCGGGAGAAGGGGUGCUCUUUAGGGUUAACGCCCAGAAGAGCCGCAGUGAAUAGGCCCAAGCGACUGUUUAUCAAAAACACAGGUCUCUGCUAAACCGUAAGGUGAUGUAUAGGGGCUGACGCCUGCCCGGUGCUGGAAGGUUAAGAGGAGUGGUUAGCUUCUGCGAAGCUACGAAUCGAAGCCCCAGUAAACGGCGGCCGUAACUAUAACGGUCCUAAGGUAGCGAAAUUCCUUGUCGGGUAAGUUCCGACCCGCACGAAAGGCGUAACGAUUUGGGCACUGUCUCAACGAGAGACUCGGUGAAAUCAUAGUACCUGUGAAGAUGCAGGUUACCCGCGACAGGACGGAAAGACCCCGUGGAGCUUUACUGUAGCCUGAUAUUGAAAUUCGGCACAGCUUGUACAGGAUAGGUAGGAGCCUUUGAAACGUGAGCGCUAGCUUACGUGGAGGCGCUGGUGGGAUACUACCCUAGCUGUGUUGGCUUUCUAACCCGCACCACUUAUCGUGGUGGGAGACAGUGUCAGGCGGGCAGUUUGACUGGGGCGGUCGCCUCCUAAAAGGUAACGGAGGCGCUCAAAGGUUCCCUCAGAAUGGUUGGAAAUCAUUCAUAGAGUGUAAAGGCAUAAGGGAGCUUGACUGCGAGACCUACAAGUCGAGCAGGGUCGAAAGACGGACUUAGUGAUCCGGUGGUUCCGCAUGGAAGGGCCAUCGCUCAACGGAUAAAAGCUACCCCGGGGAUAACAGGCUUAUCUCCCCCAAGAGUUCACAUCGACGGGGAGGUUUGGCACCUCGAUGUCGGCUCAUCGCAUCCUGGGGCUGUAGUCGGUCCCAAGGGUUGGGCUGUUCGCCCAUUAAAGCGGUACGCGAGCUGGGUUCAGAACGUCGUGAGACAGUUCGGUCCCUAUCCGUCGUGGGCGUAGGAAAUUUGAGAGGAGCUGUCCUUAGUACGAGAGGACCGGGAUGGACAUACCUCUGGUGUACCAGUUGUCGUGCCAACGGCAUAGCUGGGUAGCUAUGUGUGGACGGGAUAAGUGCUGAAAGCAUCUAAGCAUGAAGCCCCCCUCAAGAUGAGAUUUCCCAACUUCGGUUAUAAGAUCCCUCAAAGAUGAUGAGGUUAAUAGGUUCGAGGUGGAAGCAUGGUGACAUGUGGAGCUGACGAAUACUAAUCGAUCGAAGACUUAAUCAA
rnacentral:rRNA from 1 species